rnacentral:rRNA from 1 species
UACGUAGGUGACUAGCGUUGUCCGGAUUUACUGGGCGUAAAGAGCGCGCAGGCGGUCGUUCAAGUCGAGUGUGAAAGCCCCCGGCUCAACUGGGGAGGGUCACUCGAUACUGAUCGACUUGAAGGCAGGAGAGGGAAGCGGAAUUCCCGGUGUAGUGGUGAAAUGCGUAGAUAUCGGGAGGAACACCAGUGGCGAAGGCGGCUUCCUGGCCUGUUCUUGACGCUGAGGCGCGAAAGCGUGGGGAGCAAACAGG